rnacentral:rRNA from 1 species
UGUACACACCGCCCGUCGCUACUACCGAUUGAAUGGCUCAGUGAGGCGUUCGGACUGGCUCGGGGAGGUUGGCAACGACCACCCCAAGCCGGAAAGUUCGUCAAACUCGGUCAUUUAGAGGAAGUAAAAGUCGUAACAAGGUCUCCGUAGGUGAACCCGCGGAGGGAUCAUUA